UCGAGUUUUUGAAACAGGUUGUUGCUGGCUUUGAAACAAAGUAUUGUGCACGCCUGGCUCAUCUACUUCUAAACCCCUGUGCACCUACUGUAGGCUUGGUUCUUAUAGAGGCUUGUAAUAACCUCUAUUAGGCCUUGUCUAUGUCUUUAACAAAUGUUCAGUAAAAGAAUGUAAACAUUGUGUGUAAUGCAUAUUGAAAUA
rnacentral:misc_RNA from 1 species